CACGGGGGGAGCAAGCGUUGUUCGGAUUCAUUGGGCGUAAAGAGCUCGUAGGUGGCUUUGUAAGUCGGAGGUGAAAUCCCACGGCUCAACCGUGGACACGCCUUCGAUACUGUGAAGCUUGAGGCUGGGAGAGGGAAUCGGAAUUCCUGGUGUAGCGGUGAAAUGCGUAGAUAUCUGGAGGAACACCGGUGGCGAAGGCGGCAUCCUGGACCAACACUGACACUGAGGAGCGAAAGCCAGGGGAGCAAACGGG
rnacentral:rRNA from 1 species